GGGCCCGUCGUCCAGCCAGGACAGGACGUCUGGCUUCGGACCAGAAGGUCGUGGGUUCGAAUCCCACCGGGCCCG
rnacentral:tRNA from 1 species